rnacentral:rRNA from 1 species
GACGAACGCUGGCGGCGUGCCUAAUACAUGCAAGUCGAGCGGGCUUAUUCGGGUAGCUUGCUAUUUGGAUAAGUCAGCGGCGGACGGGUGAGUAACACGUGGGUAAUCUGCCUCGUAGUCUGGGAUAACAAGCCGAAAGGUUUGCUAAUACCGGAUGAGUUCAUGUUAUUGCAUAGUGACAUGAAGAAAGGGGGAGACCCGCUAUGAGAUGAGCCCGCGUCCCAUUAGCUAGUUGGUGGGGUAAAGGCCUACCAAGGCGACGAUGGGUAGCCGGCCUGAGAGGGUGGACGGCCACACUGGGACUGAGACACGGCCCAGACUCCUACGGGGGGGCAGCAGUAGGGAAUCUUCGGCAAUGGGCGGAAGCCUGACCGAGCGACGCCGCGUGAGGGACGAAGGCCUUCGGGUUGUAAACCUCUGUCUGGGGGACGGAGAACGGACGGUACCCCCGGACGGAAGCCCCGGCGUAACUACGUG